AGAAUAUAGAGGUAGCUUGCUAUUUUUAUAUAAAAGCGGCAAACGGGUGAGUAACACGUUGGUAUCUGCCCUCUACUCAGGAAUAAACUCGAGAAAUCGAGUCUAAUACCGGAUGGUCCCGAAAGGGUAAAGCUUCGGCGGUAGAGGAGGAGCCUGCGGCCUAUCAGCUUGUUGGUGAGGUAAUGGCUUACCAAGGCUAUGACGGGUAGCUGGUCUGAGAGGACGACCAGUCACAAUGGGACUGAGACACGGCCCAUACUCCUACGGGAGGCAGCAGUGAGGAAUUUUCCGCAAUGGCCGAAAGGCUGACGGAGCGACACAGCGUGAAGGAUGAAGGUUCUAGGAUUGUAAACUUCUUUUCUGGGGGACUAAGGUCUGAAUUUACCUCAGGAAUAAGCACCGGCUAACUACGUGCCAGCAGCCGCGGUAAUACGUAGGGUGCGAGCGUUAUUCGGAAUUAUUGGGCGUAAAGCGUCUGUAGGCGGCGUGUUAAGUAAAGGAUUAAAUCAACGGGCCCAACUCGUUGGCUGUUCUUUAAACUGACAUGCUAGAAGUAAGGAGGGGCAUUUGGAAUUCCUGGUGUAGGGGUAAAAUCCGUAGAUAUCAGGAGGAACGCUAAAAGCGAAGGCAGAAUGCUGGACUUACUUGACGCUGAGAGACGAAAGCGUGGGGAGCAAACAGGAUUAGAUACCCUGGUAGUCCACGCCGUAAACGAUGGAUACUAGAUGUUGGAGGUUCGACCCCUUCAGUGUCGUAGCUAACGCGUUAAGUAUCCCGCCUGGGGAUUACGAUCGCAAGAUUAAAACUCAAAGGAAUAGACGGGGACCCACACAAGCGGUGGAGCAUGUUGUUUAAUUCGACACAACACGGGGAACCUUACCAAGACUUGACAUCCCGAGAACCCUGAAGAAAUUCGGGGGUGCCGCAAGGAACUCGGUGACAGGUGCUGCAUGGUUGUCGUCAGCUCGUGCCUUGAGGUGUUCGGUUAAGUCCGUGAACGAGCGCAACCCUCGUCCUAAGUUACAUUUUCUUAGGAGACUGCCUGUGUUAAGCAGGAGGAAGGUGAGGAUGACGUCAAAUCAGCAUGGCCCUUAUGUCUUGGGCUACUAACAUGCUACAAUGGGAUGUACAAUGGGUUGCUAAGUCGUAAGAUGGAGCUAAUCCCAACAAAGCAUCUCUCAGUUCGGAUUGAGGGCUGAAACUCGACCUCAUGAAGUUGGAAUCGCUAGUAAUCGUGAAUCAGAUAUGUCACGGUGAAUAUGUUCCUGGGUCUUGUACUCACCGCCCGUCAAGUCAUGGAAAUUAAUAGCGCCCGAAGUCUCACAUUGGUGGGCCUAAGGUGAAAUUAGUAACUGGGACUAAGUCGUAACAAGGUA
rnacentral:rRNA from 1 species